rnacentral:rRNA from 1 species
ACUCCUACGGGAGGCAGCAGUGGGAAUAUUGCACAAUGGGCGGAAGCCUGAUGCAGCGACGCCGCGUGAGGGAUGACGGCCUUCGGGUUGUAAACCUCUUUCAGCUCUGACGAAGCUUUUGUGACGGUAGGAGCAGAAGAAGCACCGGCUAACUACGUGCCAGCAGCCGCGGUAAUACGUAGGGUGCGAGCGUUGUCCGGAAUUAUUGGGCGUAAAGAGCUUGUAGGCGGUUUGUCGCGUCUGCUGUGAAAGCCCGGGCUUAACUCCGGGUCUGCAGUGGGUACGGGCAGGCUAGAGUGUGGUAGGGGAGACUGGAAUUCCUGGUGUAGCGGUGGAAUGCGCAGAUAUCAGGAGGAACACCGAUGGCGAAGGCAGGUCUCUGGGCCAUUACUGACGCUGAGAAGCGAAAGCGUGGGGAGCGAACAGGAUUUAGAUA